rnacentral:rRNA from 1 species
GAAGCCAGAGAUCAAGCGGCCACUUGACUUCUCGACACAACCGGUUCUUCCGCCGUGUUCUCUCUGGUCCCAUAAAGAAAGUUUGAAGGUUUGUAGACCGUCUGUUUUCACCGACGUAUGACCACAAAAAAACGAAGAACUACACAAACAACCUUACACGUUCUUGUCCCCAAACUCACAUACGUUGUUGUUUUUUAAGCUGUUGCCCAACCCACGGGCUGUCAGGGCUGCUACCGUGGCCUCUGCGCAGGCGUCGGCUCAAGCCAGGCGCGUCCUUGGCCGCUUCAACGUCAUGUCCUUCGACCCUCUAAGUCUAGAGGAAUAGUCGCUCUAUUGAGAACCUUGUUACUGGAAACCUCUUGUUUCGUGUCUCUUCCUUAGUGUACUAUACUAUAGAAUAAGAAAACUAGUCCCGUAGUUGUAUGAGCUGUGGCGUCUUUAAAUGGGUUAAGUUGGGUUCCUCCUCUGAGUUCCUUCCUGACUAGAUAUACAUCCGUCCACCUACUUUAGGUUCGGUGCUCUAUUUCAUUAAAACCGGUGGUUUCAAAGACCAAUAAGUCUAGCGUGAAAAGAAGCCCUGUUACGUCUUUACCACGCACAACUACGAGGUUUAUAUUUCCUUUCACAGCUUUUCUCGGAAAGUGCGAAUAGAUGUCUGAUGUAACUAAACGAAGUGUAUGUGACCGGUCUAUCCAUACACCGUGAUAUACCGCUUAAGUCAAUACUAAGUUGAUUUACCUCCGGUUCGCAGGGUAAACUCCUAGUCAACUUUCGAGAAGUCCUUGAUUAACUACUUCCUUUCCAUGCUAUGUAGCCGCAAAGGUUACUUUGGAGCAUGCCCCAUUACGCCAAACAUGUCCGACGUUUCGAAGUACCUGAAGGCUUCUAACACUCGUAGGUCUUGCCAAUGUCAGAUGAACACUCUACGUCGAAGCUUCAACUAGAACGACUCCAAACGGUGGGUUUGUUGACGUUGUAACCCGACGAGCGGAUGAGGGGCGAGCCGUCGCCACAAGACUGGCCUUUCAUAGACCUACUAUCGACACCGUUGUCGUUCUCAAAGUCCGAUUUAGAGAAGGGACCUAUGUACGUCGCGAUGUUGCGGGGAGACCGAUUCCUUCGUUGCUUCCUUAUGGAGUUCCAGCGCUUCUUCGUAGCCGAUUGAGGCCAGGUCGAACGGGACCCGAAGCAGGCACUGGCGGGUAAGUGUCGAUCGUGGUAGUAGCCUCGCUGGUGGUACCUAGUCGACUUCCUCUUGUAGCUUCGCAAGUGGUCGCGAGGUGCCGGAGACGGCGGUGUUCAAGAACUACUGUAACGCUGACAAAAGUUCUCUAUGUCUCUGGGUCGUCAGGAGAUCUACCAAAAAGUCGAAAGAGACUUCGUUUAUUGUCGUUGGGAGUCACCUAUGUCUGGUUCCCUUGUCAAACGAUAGUACGUUAAAGUAUAUCGUUAAUCGACAAUCGCAUAUAAUAACAAGACCUAUUUGUAAUGAUCGAUUCUCAAUUAUUUCACGUAGCCUACAGGUCUAAGGGAGGUAACGUCGUGACUUACGUGUGCUCAAUGUUGGGUGUGAUAAGUCGUAAACGUGUGUUCCUGGUUUAGGGUAUCAGGCUGCUCAGUACGCUAACUCAAGAGAUGGUAGAUAUGUGUGUGUGUGAAGGUAAGUCAAAAUGUCAGUUCGUAUUAGUCACGUCCUCUGGGCGGAAUAGUCAGUAGAACGUCUUAAGUCAGUAGGUAAGCGGACGGAAACACACAGGACGAGUAGUAGCAGUGUAAGCAGUCUCAUCAACUUCAGAACUCGCAAGGUAGAACCCAAACAGUUCGCGGGAGACGGUAGGGACGCUGGUGAGAGACGACAAACGACCAGUUAGUUAAGCUCGACGAAAGAAUGGGUUCCUCCCAGUAGACCUACUUCGGUAUCGACGAGUGCCCACAGGAACACGAAUUUUAGUCCCGUUGACCGUAUACCAAACAUAACGGCCAAUAGGGUGGUGAGCAUUCCCGACCGUUUCUUCUGGACGG